rnacentral:rRNA from 1 species
UUGAACUGAAGAGUUUGAUCCUGGCUCAGAUUGAACGCUGGCGGCAUGCCUUACACAUGCAAGUCGAACGGCAGCACGGACUUCGGUCUGGUGGCGAGUGGCGAACGGGUGAGUAAUACAUCGGAACGUGUCCUGGAGUGGGGGAUAGCCCGGCGAAAGCCGGA